UACGUAGGGUGCAAGCGUUAAUCGGAAUUACUGGGCGUAAAGCGUGCGCAGGCGGUUAUAUAAGACAGUUGUGAAAUCCCCGGGCUCAACCUGGGAAUUGCAUUGGAGACUGCAAGGCUAGAAUCUGGCAGAGGGGGGUAGAAUUCCGCGUGUAGCAGUGAAAUGCGUAGAUAUGCGGAGGAACACCGAUGGCGAAGGCAAUCCCCUGGACCUGUACUGACGCUCAUGCACGAAAGCGAGGGGAGCAAACAGG
rnacentral:rRNA from 1 species